rnacentral:rRNA from 1 species
GACGAACGCUGGCGGCGUGCCUAACACAUGCAAGUCGAGCGAACAGACCCGGCGUUUGUUCCUUUCUCGUUAGCCGCGGACGGGUGAGUCACACGUGGAUAAUCCCCCUAUCUGUCUGGGAUCACCUCGGGACACCGGCGCUAAUCCCGGAUAAUCUAUUGAACCGCAUGGUUCAAUAGUGAAAGUCGGCUUUUCUGUCUCUUCUAGCUGCAUACGCGCUUCAUUAGCUAGUAGGUACGUUCACGGGUUACCAAGGCGAGGAUGCGUGGCCGACGUGCGGGGGUGGUCGGCCACACUGGAGCGGGAACGGGGUCCAGGCUCCUACGGGAGGGAGCAGUAGGGAAUCGUCGGCAAUGGGCGAGAGCCUGACGGAGCGAGGCCACGUGAGUGAUGAAGGUCUUCGGAUCGUAAAGCUCUGUUAUUGGGGAAGAACAGAUGUGUAAGUAACUAUGCACGUCUUGACGGUACCUGAUCAGAAAGCCACGGCUAACUACGUG